rnacentral:rRNA from 1 species
AAUAAGCGGAGGAAAAGAAACUAACAAGGAUUCCCCUAGUAACGGCGAGUGAAGCGGGAUGAGCUCAAAUUUGAAAGCUGGCCUCUGGUCCGCAUUGUAAUCUCGAGAAGUGUUUUCCGUGCCGGAUUGCGUACAAGUCCCUUGGAAUAGGGCGUCGUAGAGGGUGAGAAUCCCGUACUUGACGCAGGCUCCGGUGCUUUGUGAUACACUCUCCAAGAGUCGAGUUGUUUGGGAAUGCAGCUCAAAAUGGGUGGUAAAUUCCAUCUAAAGCUAAAUAGUGGGGAGAGACCGAUAGCGAACAAGUACCGUGAGGGAAAGAUGAAAAGCACUUUGGAAAGAGAGUUAAACAGUACGUGAAAUUGUCGAAAGGGAAGCGCUGGAAGUCAGCCAUGCCAGUCGAAAUUCAGCCUUGCUUCUGCCUGGUGUACUUUUCGACUGGCAGGCCAGCAUCGGUUUGGAUCGCCGGAGAAGGGCGAGAGGAAGGUGGCACCCUCGGGUGUGUUAUAGCCUCUCGCUGGAUACGGCGGCCUGGACCGAGGAACGCAGUGUGCCUUUUGGUGGGCCUUUGGGCACCUUCACACUUUGGAUGCUGGCGUAAUGGCUUUCAGCGACCCGUCUUGAAACACGGACCAAGGAGUCUAACAUGUUUGCGAGUCUUUGGGUGCCAAACCCAUGGGCGCAAUGAAAGUGAAUGCAGGUGGGAUCCUCACGGAGCACCAUCGACCGAUCCUGAUCUUCUGAGACGGAUU